AUUGAACGCUGGCGGCAGGCCUAACACAUGCAAGUCGAACGAGUGGCGGACGGGUGAGUAAUAUCUGGGAAAUUGCCUGAUGGAGGGGGAUAACUACUGGAAACGGUAGCUAAUACCGCCUACCAUCGGAUGUGCCCGGAUGGGAUUAGCUAGUAGGUGGGGUAAAGGCUCACCUCGGCAACGAUCCCGAGCUGGUCUGAGAGGAUGAGCGGGCACACGGGAACUGAGACACGGUCCAGACUCCUACGGGAGGCAGCAGUGGGGAAGAUUGCACAAUGGGCGCAAGGCUGAUGCAGCCAUGCCGCGUGUAUGAAGAAGGCCUGCGGGUUGUAAAGUACUUUCAGCGGGGAGGCGUUACCCGCAGAAGAAGCACCGGCUAACUCCGUGCCAGCAGCCGCGGUAAUAC
rnacentral:rRNA from 1 species